rnacentral:rRNA from 1 species
GUGUCACUUUUGCUGGGACUACCGUUGGCAGGUCAUGCCAUAGGACCAUUGGACGCACCGGCUGGUUGGGAGCAAGGUCUUACACAAUGUUUUCAUGGUGUUUUUUCGGAUGUUCCGGAUCCGGUAUGGGAGCAUCAUGGACCUAAGUAUGAUUGGUUGCUCAAUUUCCAGAUCCAGAAGUUUCAGGCGCCAUUGAGUGCGGAACAGAUCACUCGGAGUCUGGAGGCCUACUUAAUGUGGCUUUUCGGCAAGGUGAUGUUCACAGAGAACCAUGUCAGCACUAUUAGCAUGCUCUACAUCCCUAUGGCACUCGAGAUAGCGAGCGCUCAGACGGCAGAUCAGAUCCGACAGAGGAGUUGGGGUUCGGCGGUCUUAGCGGCUACAUACCGAGGUAUGUGCAACGGUUGCCAGCUUAUAUCGAGAAAGCCAUCCCUUCUUGGAUGCCCUCUAUUCCUACAGCUG